rnacentral:rRNA from 1 species
GAUGAACGCUAGCGGCAGGCCUAACACAUGCAAGUCGAGGGGUAGAGGUUGCUUGCAACCUUGAGACCGGCGCACGGGUGCGUAACGCGUAUGCAAUCUGCCUUGUACUGAGGGAUAGCCCAGAGAAAUUUGGAUUAAUACCUCAUAGUAUCUUUUCCCGGCAUCGGGAGAUUAUUAAAGUUCCAACGGUACAAGAUGAGCACGCGUCCCAUUAGCUAGUUGGUAUGGUAACGGCAUACCAAGGCAAUGAUGGGUAGGGGUCCUGAGAGGGAGAUCCCCCACACUGGUACUGAGACACGGACCAGACUCCUACGGGAGGCAGCAGUGAGGAAUAUUGGUCAAUGGGCGCAAGUCUGAACCAGCCAUGCCGCGUGCAGGAUGAAGCAUCUAUGGUGUGUAAACUGCUUUUAUACGGGAAGAAACACCGGUUCGUGAACCGGCUUGACGGUACCGUAAGAAUAAGGAUCGGCUAACUCCGUGCCAGCAGCCGCCGUAA